rnacentral:sRNA from 1 species
AAUCUACACCGUCCGCGUGCAUGAAUA